rnacentral:tRNA from 2 species
UGUGUGUAAUUUAAAAAAAAUAUCAAGCUGUGACCCUGAAAAUAGACAUUCUCACACACC